CCUCGUAACUGGGAAGUGGUGUGGGCCACUCUUUAUACCUCUGUGCAAAGUAAUCACUUUACCAUAAUCAGAAACAGAAACAGUGAGCACCUGCCAGACUCAAAGACAUUAACUGGAGACAAGGCUCAAGCCUGGGAAUGGCACUAACACUACCUGCUACACCACUAUGCUUCAAGGAACUGAAAUAACUGUUCUUUUAAUAGUAAAAUGUAAGGAUUAAGAUGUUUGUGAAUUGUUUUGACAUUGGUGCCAUAGAAAAUGAAACAUUUGAUUCCCAGGUGGAGCGAUCUGGGUCCUUUCUGUGUCGAGUUUGUGUGUUCUUGUAGGUUUGCUCCCACAGUCCAAAGACAUGCAGUCAGGUUAAUUAAAGAUACUUAUGAGUAUGAGUUGCUGUGUGAGUGGGUGUGUGAAUUUGCGUGUGUGUGUUUGCCCUGUGAUGGACUGGUGACUUGUCCUGGGUGUUUCCUGCCUUUCGCUCAGUGAAUCAGACCCACUGCAACCCUGAAUGUGAUAAAGUGGUUAUAAAACAGACAGUGAAUGAAUAAAUGAAUGAAUGAAUGAG